AUUGAACGCUGGCGGCAGGCCUAACACAUGCAAGUCGAACGAGUGGCGGACGGGUGAGUAAUGUCUGGGAAACUGCCUGACGGAGGGGGAUAACUACUGGAAACGGUAGCUAAUACAGCAUACCAUCAGAUGUGCCCCGAUGGGAUUAGCUUGUUGGUGGGGUAACGGCUCACCAAGGCGACGAGCCCUAGCUGGUCUGAGAGGAUGACCAGCCACACUGUAACUGAGACACGGUCCAGACUCCUACGGGAGGAAGCAGUGGUGAAUAGUGCACAAUGGGCGCAAGCCUGAUGGAGCCAUGCCGCGUGUAUGAAGAAGGCCUUCGGGUUGUAAAGUACUUACAGCGGGGAGGCGUUACGCGCAGAAGGAGCACCGGCUGACGCCGUGCCAGCAGCCGCGGUAAUUC
rnacentral:rRNA from 1 species